rnacentral:rRNA from 1 species
ACAAGCGGUGGAUGAUGUGGAUUAAUCGAUGCAACGCGAAGAACCUUACACCCUUGACAUGUCCGGAACUUGCCAGAGAUGGCUUGGUGCCCGAAAGGGAAUCGGAACACAGGUGCUGCAUGGCUGUCGUCAGCUCGUGUCGUGAGAUGUUGGGUUAAGUCCCGCAACGAGCGCAACCCUUAUCAUUAGUUGCUACGCAAGGGCACUCUAAUGAGACUGCCGGUGACAAACCGGAGGAAGGUGGGGAUGACGUCAAGUCCUCAUGGCCCUUAUGGGUAGGGCUUCACACGUCAUACAAUGGUCGGUACAGAGGGUUGCCAAGCCGCGAGGCGGAGCCAAUCCCACAAAGCCGAUCGUAGUCCGGAUUGUUCUCUGCAACUCGAGAGCAUGAAGUCGGAAUCGCUAGUAAUCGCAGGUCAGCAUACUGCGGUGAAUACGUUCCCGGGUCUU